rnacentral:tRNA from 1 species
CGUCCGGUAGCUCAGGGGAAGAGCAUCUGUCUUACAAACAGAGGGUCCCAGGUUCGAAACCUGGUCGGACGACCA